rnacentral:rRNA from 1 species
GACGAACGCUGGCGGCGUGCCUAAUACAUGCAAGUAGAACGCACAGUUUAUACCGUAGCUUGCUACACCAUAGACUGUGAGUUGCGAACGGGUGAGUAACGCGUAGGUAACCUGCCUGGUAGCGGGGGAUAACUAUUGGAAACGAUAGCUAAUACCGCAUAAUAUUAAUUAUUGCAUGAUAAUUAAUUGAAAGGUGCAAUUGCACCACUACCAGAUGGACCUGCGUUGUAUUAGCUAGUAGGUGAGGUAACGGCUCACCUAGGCGACGAUACAUAGCCGACCUGAGAGGGUGAUCGGCCACACUGGGACUGAGACACGGCCCAGACUCCUACGGGAGGCAGCAGUAGGGAAUCUUCGGCAAUGGACGAAAGUCUGACCGAGCAACGUCGCGUGAGUGAAGAAGGUUUUCGGAUCGUAAAGCUCUGUUGUAAGAGAAGAACGGGUGUGAGAGUGGAAAGUUCACACUGUGACGGUAUCUUACCAGAAAGGGACGGCUAACUACGUG